rnacentral:lncRNA from 1 species
UGAAAGAGAAAAGCCUUUAAUGUUAUCAUCUUCCUCCUCCACCCUUGCACUGCCUUGCUUAGAAUUCCUUAUCUAAUCAACUAGAGUCACACAUCUUAACAGUCAAACAAUAAAAAUGGGAUGCACUUUAAGUCUGGAUCGUUAGAGGCCAAAAACAACCUGUUGUUCAGGCUGCAAUCAUCCUGCCCAGAGGGCACUGAGCUCCACUUUCACUUUUAAGGGAACUGCAAAUAAAAUGCCUUUCUCUCCUGGAUUUUGAAAUUUUUUCUGUUAAAUCUGGUUAAAAUACACAUUAUGUUCACAGAACCUAGCAAAGAAGCAAACUUUAUGCUAUGAAAUGUUAAGUAAAAGAAAGUGCAGUGACAUGUUGGGAAGGAAGGGCCUCAGAUAAUCCAAGUUUCUCCAGCUUGGACGCCUAUGUGUUAUGGCUGAUUCUAGAAAACUAGAAAUAGGAGCGGUUAGUGCAAGUCCGCUUGGUGUGGAGAUCAGGAUGGUGACAAUGAGAAGGGGUGAAGGGAAUUGGAGGGUACUAACUACUUCAAUUAAAAACAACAGAGGCCAGCCAUGGUGGCUCACAUCUAUGUUCCUAGCACUUUGGGAGCAUGAGGUGGGAGGAUGGCCUGAGCCCAGGAGUUCGAGGGUGCAGUGAGCUGUGAUCACAACACAGCCCUCCAGUCUGGGUGACAAAGCAAGACCCUAACUCAAAAAACAAAACAAAACAAAAAGCCACCACCAACAAAGGAAAUCUCACACCCACUGUAGGUGUCUACUAUCAAAAACACAGAAAAUAACAAGAGUCAGUAAGCAUGUGGAGAAAUUGGAACUCUGUGCACUGUUGCUGUGAAUGUAAACUGGUGCAGCUGCUAUGGAAAUAGUAU